GAGAUGUCUUAUAUUCUCCUCCUCUUUCUCUUUUUCUUUAUAUGCUUCUCUCUCAAUAAUGAAUCCAGGUCACACUCUAUUGCUUCCUCUCCUCUCUGAAGAGAUGACAGGUGACAUUAACUCUCUGGCUCUGUAUAGUAACCUAGUUAGCCCACUUUACACACACAUUGAUGUUUCAACUGGACUGCAUUACCUUACUUCACCACAAGGGGACAGAGUGAGUUACACAAGGAUUCUUUGAUGGACAGAAAGUUUAAAAGAAUGGCAUCCUUGCUAAGCAAAACUAUUUAUUUUGAAACUUUCAAAAGCCUUGCACGAGGGUCCUACCAAACCAUGUUUACAACAUGAAAAACAUUCAUAUAAAUGAGGAUGACCCAUGGACAAAAACAGAUUAAAAUUAUCCUAAUCUUUUUUAACCUAUUACUUCAGUUUAUACAACCUCAGCUGGGCAUGUAAAAGUGAUUGUGAUUUAAUUUUCCACACCGACCAUACCGAUAAAAAAAAAUCUCAAGAAGUGGAAAGAGAAAAGUUCCCACAAUUGUUAUAGCAAAAAGAAAAAUGGAGGAGGAAAAGGAAUGAUUUUACGCUCCGGUGGAGCUGGAUAUUUCGGUGCAUAAUGAUGAACUCAGAAGGGUUAGUGUCUGUGGAAAGAUCCAGUAAGGGAGGAAAUGCAAAAGCCUGAGGUACUCGAAUGACAUAAAAUUCAGAACUUAGUUGUGUUGCUGAUGACAAUCAAAGUAUAAUGCAACCCAGCUUCAGUCCUAGUAUGUUGAAUCUAAAUAUAUGCUGUAUAUAGUAAAUAUAAAAAUGAAUUUGUGAAUGCAAUUCUGCAGUUUUUCUGUGUGUGUGUGUGCAUGUGACAUAUCUUUGUGUGUGACCAUAUGUGUGUUCCCAUCAGUGGGUCUGUAUGCCAUCUGCUUGCUUGUGCUAGCACAGGAGUUUCACUAAGCUGUCAAUUUCACAGCCUUGAUCCACACACUUACAUGGGUCCUAUUUCACAGACUAAGCUUUAUAAAUGAACUUCAAAAACUUUAAGAGAAGUUUGACAAAUGACCUCUGCUCCAUUUUAUUGUAUGCACAUGUAUAUGUGUAUAUUCAGUAGGUUUUGAGUAAGGUCACUUGUAACUUAUGUUCUAUAUGUCAUUUGGGGACUGAACCAGUAUUACAUUACAAACACACACACACACACACACACACACACACACCCUAAGCUUAGUGCUGUCAAUCACCUUCACCACUUCAAAGACGACAACUUGAAAGUGAUACACCUCAGGCAGUUAAUGUUUACAGCCAAUUUUCUGAAUUCCGACAUGUCACACACAGAUAUGACCAGGGAGGGUGGAUUAUAAAUAUAUGAAAACCAGUUAGUUCUCCUUCCUGUUGAAUCUGAUGUCCCACAAGUCCCAAACAAGCUCCCAAAACUCAAGCUUAAGCUGUUUGUAAACAUUUUCAUGGGCACAAAUGUCUUUCAUUAACAAAACUUGUAAAAAAUAAUAUGCAAAUUAAAUUGUAUUUAUUAAAAAUUCUUAACUUAAAAUAAAUUUGCUUCAAAAUUGGCUUAAUUAAUG
rnacentral:lncRNA from 12 species